rnacentral:rRNA from 1 species
GAGUGUAGGAGUGAAAGGCCAAUCAAACUUGGAGAUAGCUCGUACUCCCCGAAAGGCAUUUAGGUGCCGCGUCGGAUGGUCACCGUGAGAGGUAGAGCGACCGAUAGGACAAGAGGGCUUCACCGCCUAUCGAGUCCUGACGAACUCCGAAUGCUCACGGUCUGCAGUCCGGCAGUAAGGGGGCGGGUGCUAAGGUCCGUCCCCGAGAGGAGAAGAAUCCAGACCGCCGUCUAAGGUCCCGGAGUUCUGCCUGAGUUAGUCUAACGAAGUCUGGUCCCUAUGACAGCUAGGAUGUUGGCUUGGAAGCAGCCAUUCAUUCAAAGAGUGCGUAACAGCUCACUAGUCGAGGGUCCGGGCAUGGAUAAUAAUCGGGUAUAAGGCAGACACCGAAGGCGCGGGAUAGCAAUUAUAAAAGUAUCGGUAGGGGAGCAUACUCACAGCGUCGAAUGGUGUACGUAAGUUAUCCUGGAGCGGUGAGUAAAGCAAAUGUAGGAAUAAGUAACGAUAAGGAGGGUUAGAUUCCCUCCCGCUGUAAGACCAAGGUUUCCCGGGCAAUGCCAAUCAGCCCGGGGUCAGUCGGGUCCUAAGUCUAAGCCGAACGGCGAUGGCGAUGGCAGAGACGGUUAAUAUUCCGUCACUGCCGCAUGGGGCGACGUGGAGACGGAGCAGUGAAACCACCGCGGGGCGACGGAAGUCCCCGUUGAAGGGUGUAGGUGUUGAGGAUGGCAGGCAAAUCCACCAUCCGAGCUGAACUUGACAGUACGGAGUCCUCCUCGGAGGAAUCUGAUAGUGUGGGUAAUCAUACUCCCGAGAAAAUCCGCUAAGCUUAACCCAUGCGGCACCCGUACCGCAAACGGACACACGUGGUCGGGUAGAACAUACUAAGGCGUUGAGAGAUUCAUGGUUAAGGAACUAGGCAAAUUGACCCUGUAACUUCGGGAUAAAGGGUCCUCGUGAUGAGCGAGGCGCAGAGAAUAGGUCCAGGCAACUGUUUAACAAAAACACAGGGCUGUGCAAACUCGAAAGAUGACGUAUACAGCCUGACACCUGCCCGGUGCCGGAAGGUUAAGAGGAGAUGUCACUCGCAAGAGGAAGCAUUGAAUUGAAGCCCCGGUAAACGGCGGCCGUAACUAUAACGGUCCUAAGGUAGCGAAAUUCCUUGUCGGGUAAGUUCCGACCUGCACGAAUGGUGUAAUGAUCUGGACACUGUCUCAACCGUGAGCUCAGUGAAAUUGUAGUAUCGGUGAAGAUGCCGAUUACCCGCGAUGGGACGAAAAGACCCCGUGAACCUUUACUACAGCUUAGCAUUGACCUUGGUCAUCCGAUGUGUAGGAUAGGCCGGAGGCUUCGAAGCGGGAGCGCCAGCUUUCGUGGAGCCAUCCUUGAAAUACGGCCCUUUGGCUGUCUGAGGUCUAACGCGC